rnacentral:lncRNA from 1 species
GCCACACAAAUGGCAGCAGGCCAGGCCCUGGGAGUGGCCACCUGAACGGAGCCACCUCAGUCCCAGGGUGUGCUCCCAGGUACUGUGAAUCGGGGUCCGUCCUCAGGCGACAAGCAAGUGCACACCCGGAAGCAGAGAGCAGCCUGCACUGGCUCCUGGUGGCUCCUCUCCUGAGAGGGACGCAGAAGCUGUCAGGGGCUCCAGAGCCACCUGUUAAACUCUGCUCCUGACGUUUGUCACCAUCUGAAAGCCGGUCACUGAACUUUCAAGUUCUCUGAGUUGACCCCACAUGCAGGGCCUACCGCUCUGGCCACCCACCUCUGGCAUCAGUCACAGAGUAGCUGGACAGGAGUCAGGCGGCCAUCAGCAGGGUUGAGCCCUAGGCCUCAGUAUCAGGCCUACGCGGUUCCAGAGAGUUGCCUCUGGCUCACCCCCCGGGGUUCAGGAGGGGACAGGGGCUCUGAGGAGGGACAGAUGGCGGACGGGAGGUGAGCUGGGCUCUGGGUCACAUGGCUGGGGACCCCAUUCUGGGGCAUGUCUCUGAGUUGUGCUGCAGAGAGCUGUGUCUCUGAAGCAGGGUCUGCCUGACCAUCCUGGGGGCUGCGAGGAAGACACUCUGGAGAAGGCCCAGAACAGGCUAGGCAGCAAGCAAGGAGGCUGAGCGGGCAGCUGGUGGGGGGGCAGGUUGGCAGCAGCCACUCCAGGGUCUCUCCCAGCCCUCCUGGGUGCCAGGCUCGUCUCCCCUGCUCACCUCGUCCCUUGCUUUUGCACUUGGGGGACAGUUCUGAUUGGUCACUCAGGGCUGGAGAUGCCUGUCCUGCCCACACCUCCAACCCCUUGCAUAGAGUGUGUGCAGCACUUGCUGGCUGGACCUCACAGGCCACCAGAAUAGCAAUGUGACCUUGCCAGCACAUACUGGGUCCGGAGG